rnacentral:rRNA from 2 species
GAACGAGUGGCGGACGGGUGAGUAACACGUGGGUAACCUGCCCUUAAGUGGGGGAUAACAUUUGGAAACAGAUGCUAAUACCGCAUAGAUCCAAGAACCGCAUGGUUCUUGGCUGAAAGAUGGCGUAAGCUAUCGCUUUUGGAUGGACCCGCGGCGUAUUAGCUAGUUGGUGAGGUAAUGGCUCACCAAGGCGAUGAUACGUAGCCGAACUGAGAGGUUGAUCGGCCACAUUGGGACUGAGACACGGCCCAAACUCCUACGGGAGGCAGCAGUAGGGAAUCUUCCACAAUGGACGCAAGUCUGAUGGAGCAACGCCGCGUGAGUGAAGAAGGCUUUCGGGUCGUAAAACUCUGUUGUUGGAGAAGAAUGGUCGGCAGAGUAACUGUUGUCGGCGUGACGGUAUCCAACCAGAAAGCCACGGCUAACUACGUGCCAGCAGCCGCGGUAAUACGUAGGUGGCAAGCGUUAUCCGGAUUUAUUGGGCGUAAAGCGAGCGCAGGCGGUUUUUUAAGUCUGAUGUGAAAGCCCUCGGCUUAACCGAGGAAGCGCAUCGGAAACUGGGAAACUUGAGUGCAGAAGAGGACAGUGGAACUCCAUGUGUAGCGGUGAAAUGCGUAGAUAUAUGGAAGAACACCAGUGGCGAAGGCGGCUGUCUGGUCUGUAACUGACGCUGAGGCUCGAAAGCAUGGGUAGCGAACAGGAUUAGAUACCCUGGUAGUCCAUGCCGUAAACGAUGAAUGCUAGGUGUUGGAGGGUUUCCGCCCUUCAGUGCCGCAGCUAACGCAUUAAGCAUUCCGCCUGGGGAGUACGACCGCAAGGUUGAAACUCAAAGGAAUUGACGGGGGCCCGCACAAGCGGUGGAGCAUGUGGUUUAAUUCGAAGCAACGCGAAGAACCUUACCAGGUCUUGACAUCUUUUGAUCACCUGAGAGAUCAGGUUUCCCCUUCGGGGGCAAAAUGACAGGUGGUGCAUGGUUGUCGUCAGCUCGUGUCGUGAGAUGUUGGGUUAAGUCCCGCAACGAGCGCAACCCUUAUGACUAGUUGCCAGCAUUUAGUUGGGCACUCUAGUAAGACUGCCGGUGACAAACCGGAGGAAGGUGGGGAUGACGUCAAAUCAUCAUGCCCCUUAUGACCUGGGCUACACACGUGCUACAAUGGAUGGUACAACGAGUUGCGAGACCGCGAGGUCAAGCUAAUCUCUUAAAGCCAUUCUCAGUUCGGACUGUAGGCUGCAACUCGCCUACACGAAGUCGGAAUCGCUAGUAAUCGCGGAUCAGCACGCCGCGGUGAAUACGUUCCCGGGCCUUGUACACACCGCCCGUCACACCAUGAGAGUUUGUAACACCCGAAGCCGGUGGCGUAACCCUUUUAGGGAGCGAGCCGUCUAAGGUGGGACAAAUGAUUAGGGUGAAGUCGUAACAAGGUAGCCGUAGGAGAACCUGCGGCUGGAUCACCUCCUUUCUAAGGAA